rnacentral:lncRNA from 1 species
CCAGAGCCACUGCUCCUUCUAGUGGGCUAAGAAGGAAAAUUGAGCAAAUACGUUUGCUCCAUCUGUCCUGUCAUAACGAAAGUGAUAGUUAAAGGAGCAGCUAUUUCAAAGCCCUCGGGAUCAGUCUUUUCUAGAGGGUUCAGCCUUUAGCUUUCUUCUCAGACCUCUGCUCAGGGGACUAAUUUACCCACUGCUCAGUGACUUGUGCGAAAAGCUUGCAGUGUAUCGAAGCGUGCACGAACCUGGGAAGACGUCUGAUGUUAACUACUGGUGAGCUAAAGCAGGCAGCUUGAAGGAGACGAGGGAUGAGACAAACAUCCUAAAAGUUCAUGUUAUGGCUGGUGCAUGGAAAGAACAUCUGUAUACAGGGGAUGUCAACUACAGAAGCCAACCAGGCACCGCAUCGAUCCCAGAAGGACAGAUCUGCUUGGAUGUACAGCACAGGUAUCGCCAAUCCCCAUUUGGGGAAUCACACGUUCAGCAAUUCCAAUGCCAGGUGUUUUCAGAUUUCCGACUGAGUUUGCCUGUACCACUACCUCUCUGUUAACGUACAAUUGGAUGGAUUCUGAUGCUAGGCCAAGUACACUUGCUGAGCCGUCCGCCGAGUCUAUGGGGAACUUUGACACUGGUGAUACAUCCAGCCGUGGCUCCUCACCUGCACAUGAAACUCAGAUGUCUUGGGAGAUGGAGAAUGUUGCCAUGCAAGAGGGUGGAUCACCGGCUUCCAGCAGAAGUGCACACCCAGAAUGCCUAGACUGGGUCAGACCAAAGGCCCAUCUAGCCCAGUAUUCUGUCUUCCAACAGUGGCAAAUACCAGGUGCCCCAGAGGGAAUGAACAGAACAGGUAACCAUCAAGUGAUUCAUCCCUGUCACCCAUUCCCAGCCUCUGACAAACAGAGGCUAGGGACACCAUCCCUGCCCAUGCUUGCUAAUAGCCAUUGAUGGACUUGUCCUCCAUGAAUUUAUCUAGUUCUUUUUUGAACCCUGUUAUGGUCUUGGCCUUCACAACUUCCCUUGGCAAAGAGUUCCACAGAUUGACUGUGCGUUGUGUGAAGAAAUACUUCCUUUUGUUUGUUUUUUUUAAACCUUCUACUUAUUAAUUUCAUUUGGUGACCCCUAGUUCUUGUUUCAAAGUAGCAGCCGUGUUAGUCUG